rnacentral:miRNA from 1 species
UACCGCUGCUGCUGCUGAUGAUGAUGAUGAUGACGAUGAUGAUGAACUUGCAUUCUCCUCCUCCUCCUAAUGAUCGUGGUUAUCAUGAUCAUGAUCAUGAUAA